GAUAAUCCAUCAACUGCUUCCAAAGAUGGAGAAAAAAUAGGGCCUGUCAGUUUGGGAGAACGAAAGAAUUACCCGUUUAAAGGGUUCAACAUCUCAGACGAGGAUCCAAAAAAAACUAACACAGUUGAUCAACAACUAUUCAGAAUUGAUUGCCGAUUGGCUGUUAAAGCAUCAUGCCGGCAGGUACAUAAAUCAAUUUUGUAGUUAUUGGUUUAUACAAUUCUUAUUGUAAGAACUUGACAUUAACACAUAUAAAUCAUUAUGUAAAAAACAAAAUGACGAGCGCUACAAAGUGAACGAAUGGAGUCUUGGUUCUGAUAUGUUCAAAUUUGUUGUUGCACAUUUCGGAAUGAAGAAUUGAUUCUAUUUGAUGUCACAGACCCAAACUUGCUGGAAUGAUGAGGUGUAAAUGCCAUACAUAUUACUAUUAAUUAAUACUUUAUUUAAUUGCAUUUGCGUAUUGGUUUUUUCGUAACGUAAUCUGAAAUGUUUGAUAAUAUGUGCAGCACAUCGAUGUCAUUUUUUACUACCUCCAAAAGAA
rnacentral:lncRNA from 1 species